GGAUGAACGCUGGCGGCGUGCCUAAUACAUGCAAGUCGAGCGAACAGACGAGGAGCUUGCUCCUCUGACGUUAGCGGCGGACGGGUGAGUAACACGUGGAUAACCUACCUAUAAGACUGGGAUAACUUCGGGAAACCGGAGCUAAUACCGGAUAAUAUAUUGAACCGCAUGGUUCAAUAGUGAAAGACGGUUUUGCUGUCACUUAUAGAUGGAUCCGCGCCGCAUUAGCUAGUUGGUAAGGUAACGGCUUACCAAGGCAACGAUGCGUAGCCGACCUGAGAGGGUGAUCGGCCACACUGGAACUGCGACACGGUCCAGACUCCUACGGGAGGCAGCAGUAGGGAAUCUUCCGCAAUGGGCGAAAGCCUGACGGAGCAACGCCGCGUGAGUGAUGAAGGUCUUCGGAUCGUAAAACUCUGUUAUUAGGGAAGAACAAAUGUGUAAGUAACUAUGCACGUCUUGACGGUACCUAAUCAGAAAGCCACGGCUAACUACGUG
rnacentral:rRNA from 1 species